UUUCUUUUUCCUUUUUAGCUGCUGCCUCCAUUUGCCAACUCUUGUCAGGGUCCUGGCUCUGUUGGUCAAUAUUUUUUAAUUCUUGAGGCAGCUGGAGCUUUUCUUUUUCCAGCUUUCUGCUGGCAUGUUUUUUGGGAUUGUGGGAGAAACCGAAAGACUCGGAGAAAACCCAUACAUUGCAGGCCUAAAGCUUAAAUCUGUUUUCAUCCAAACAAAUGUGUCUUCAAUUCAAAAUGUAUCAACCCUCAAUAGAAAAUUUGAAUUUGGAGUAGCUCAUCAUCCAAGGUUCUUUGGUGCUUGUUGUUAAUUAUUUCAGCCAAUUGAAAAAAUCCUGCUCAUUAAAAAGGUCUGUCAAGACAAGAAGUCAUCCAUUCAUCUUGUUCUUGGAGGCAUUUCUGGAUGGCAGUGUGGAUGUUGUUUAGAAAGAUUUGAUUUCCUUGUAAUGUUAAAGUUACUCCAUCAGGUCUAUACAUUUUGUCAUCAUCAGGUGACAAAUCUUGAUGCUCCACUACAUCGAACCGGUCGGUAUACCCCUUCAUAAUUUCAUUGACUAAUGUCCAGCUUUUAUCCUUCUGAAAAAGAUGAUCUAAUUUCCCACUUUUCCUUGGAAGGAUGAGGGACAAAACUAUUCUCAUUUGAGGGUACGUUUGUCUCAGAAGCCUCAGGUCUUUUAACAUUUGAUUUGCGAUCUGUAUUGGAGGCAUUCGUCCCAAUUCUUUUCCUGCAGCUUGGAUAACUAAAAUUUCAGGGGGACCAUCUUCUUUGGAGAUUGUGUGAUGAAGGUUAUCAACAACGUCCUUCCAGUCCACGUGUCUAAUUCCAAUCCACUUAACAUUAGCAUCAAGUUCCAAGUUUUGUCCAAAAAGAUGUUUAGCUGCAGGCUGUGCCCGUGAAAUAUAAGUUGACCCAACGAUCCAGACAUCAGGCGGUCUGGUGACUUUGGGUGUUUCCAUUGGUGAGCUGUUUGUUGAAAAGCUGAGGUCAGGGGAGCUUGAUGUGUCCUCUUCCCUCUUCUCAGGCUGGAUUUCUGUCUCAAAUGGUGGUAGACCAGCAAAAAGGCUUUUAAAAUCUGAUUAGGCUUUGGGUUGUCAGGCUGGAUUGGGCUAGAUGUAGAAGGGACACGAAGACAUGACUGAGGCUGGUCGUUGCUGCCAACGUGGAGAACCAAAAGGUCUGGGGAACUCCUUUGUUGGGACAACUGGCUAUAAAAAUGCUUAAGAACAUCCCUCCAGCGCAUGCUGACUUUUGCCAUCCAAUGGAUUUUUGCAUUGACACCAAAGUUUUGUCCAUAGCAUCGAUUAGCUGUAUAUUCUGCCCCAGUGAUGUAGUGACCCGACCCAAUGAUCCAGACCGUGGGCACUUUUCUGUCCUCUGACAGCAGCUGUCUUUGGGUGCUGUCUAAUGAGGACUUUACACCUGAUUGAUCUUCUGGAUUGUCCUGAAUUUGAUGCAUUUUUCUCAAAAUAGAAUCAAAAGUGGAAAUCCUAUGUUUUUAAAAUGGCGGAUUUUCUUCUCCGUAAAACGUGGUUUCACAAGUGAAGCUCUUCAGCAUGAAAGACCAAGUGAUGCACUUUUGGAUUGAGGUCCUAUUUAUGAAAGUUGAAACGAUGACAUGUCUUGACAUGUUUUGACUACGUCCUGACUACAUCAAAUGAUGUUUAUGACAUCAUUUAAUGUCAUAAACAUUAUCUGAUGUCAUGAAUAUGACAUCAUCUGAUGACAUCAGCAGUUGUAUUUUCAUUGAUGACAUCAGCAAUUUUUUCAAGGUCUCAUGUUGUUAAAAGAUGUUUUUAUAAUUGGAAAAAUAAAUCC